rnacentral:rRNA from 1 species
GCAGCCGCCGCGGGAAUACGGAGGGGGCUAGCGUUGUUCGGAAUUACUGGGCGUAAAGCGCACGUAGGCGGCUUUGUAAGUUAGAGGUGAAAGCCCGGGGCUCAACCCCGGAAUUGCCUUUAAGACUGCAGAGCUAGCAGGUGAGAGAGGUGAGUGGAAUUCCGAGUGUAGAGGUGAAAUUCGUAGAUAUUCGGAAGAACACCAGUGGCGAAGGCGGCUCACUGGCUCAUACUGGACGCUGAGGUGCGAAAGCGUGGGGAGCAAACAGGAUUAGAUACCCCCGUAGUCCCUGUCUCUUAUAA